rnacentral:rRNA from 1 species
AGCGGAGGAAAAGAAACCAACAGGGAUUGCCCCAGUAACGGCGAGUGAAGCGGCAACAGCUCAAAUUUGAAAUCUGGCCCCCCGGCCCGAGUUGUAAUUUGGAGAGGAUGCUUCUGGCGCGGCGCCGUCCGAGUUCCUUGGAACAGGACGCCACAGAGGGUGAGAGCCCCGUACGGACGGACGCCUAGCCUCUACGAAGCUCCUUCGACGAGUCGAGUAGUUUGGGAAUGCUGCUCAAAAUGGGAGGUAAAUUUCUUCUAAAGCUAAAUACCGGCCAGAGACCGAUAGCGCACAAGUAGAGUGAUCGAAAGAUGAAAAGCACUUUGAAAAGAGGGUUAAAAAGUACGUGAAAAUUGUUGAAAGGGAAGCGCCUGUGACCAGACUUGCGCCUCGCGGACCACCCGGCGUUCUCGCCGGUGCCCUCUGCGUGGCGCAGGCCAACCUCUGUUCUCCCAGGGGGACAAAGGCCGCGGGAACGUAGCUCCUUUGGGAGUGUUAUAGCCCGCGGCGGCAUGCCCCUGGGGGGACCGAGGAUCGCGCUUCGGCAAGGAUGCUGGCGUAAUGGUCACCAGCGACCCGUCUUGAAACACGGACCAAGGAGUCGAGCUUGUGGGCGAGUGUUUGGGUGUCAAACCCGCACGCGUAAUGAAAGUGAACGCAGGUGAGAGCUUCGGCGCAUCAUCGACCGAUCCUGAUGUUUUCGGAUGGAUUUGAGUAAGAGCCUGGGGGCUCGGACCCGAAAGAUGGUGAACUAUGCCUGAAUAGGGUGAAGCCAGAGGAAACUCUGGUGGAGGCUCGCAGCGGUUCUGACGUGCAAAUCGAUCGUCAAAUUUGGGCAUGUGGGGCGAAAGACUAAUCUAACCAUCUAGUAGCUGGUUAC